UAUAAUGUACUGUUCCUUCCAGUGACAUGACUAACUAAUACAGACACGUACCAAACCUCUAUACUUCUGAUCUCUUGUAGAUAAUGAACUUGAUCAACUGGCAUUUACCUAGAACAGUACAUUAUCUGGUAUUACCUAUGAUAAACCAUUUCAAUAAUUCUAGAUUUUCGUAUAUGUAUUCCUCCUAUUUCAUUAGGUCCUGUAGCUCAUCUACUAGAUUAUAAUCUUCCAGGCUUUUUACUGAUAAAUUACAGUCAUUAUAAAUUAAUUAGCUAUCCAAACAGAUUAUGUGUACCUAAUUCUAAGGUUUACAUUUGCCUGACUGUGCCUCACCUGGUAGUUUGUCAGACCUAAUAUGACAAAGGAAAGUUUGUUACCUAACAAAGGACACUUUGACAUACCUAGCCUUACAAGAUUGUUAUACCUAGAAUACAUGACAGUACGUCAGUAUCCUACUUUACAUCAUUACAACAAUAGUAUUUCUCCUGAUAAGAUUUAAGUCACAGUUAUCUUGUUAAUUACUGUUAUCAUGCUUAGCCUGGUAAAUCAGAUUUUAUACCAAACCAGGCUAACGUAGUCAAUAAGCUAUCUUACCUAACCUGGUCAAUUUAAUAACAAGUUGUAACUUACUUACCUGGUCAAUAAAUUACAUCAUGUAUCCAGUAAAGUAGUUUCUAUAAUUAAUGCAUAUAGCGUGCACUCACACAUGUUCAAGCAUAAAAUUAUAAUCCUGUCAUCAAAGGAAACAAUGACAGCCAAUCUCUAAUAGCCCUAUAACAUUCAUGACAUCCAUGCAUCCGAUUAG